rnacentral:rRNA from 1 species
AUUGAACGCUGGCGGCAGGCCUAACACAUGCAAGUCGAGCGAGCGGCGGACUGGUGAGUAAUGUAUGGGGACUGCCCGAUAGAGGGGGAUAACUCCUGGAAACGGUAGCUAAUACCGCAUACUAUCGGAUAACCCAUAUGGGAUUAGCUAGUAGGUGCGGUAAUGGCUCACCUAGGCGACGAUCCCUAGCUGGUCUGAGAGGAUGAUCAGCGAGACUGGGACGGAGACACGGCACAGACGACAACGGAGGAAGCAGUAGGGAAUAUUGCACAUUGGGCGAAAGCCUAAUGCAGCCAUGCAGCAUGUAUGAAGAAGGCCAUAGGGUUGUAAAGUACUUGCAGUAGGCAGGCGUUACAGACAGAAGAAGCACCGGCUAACCCCGUGCCAGCAGCCGCGGUAAUUC